UUUUCACAGUGUCAUUUGCUGACAGCAUUUUAGCACAACUAUCACAUUUACCAAGAAGUUCCCUACUGAGAGAAGUUUACUGAAGGUGGUUUCUGCUGAGACAGAAUCAAAAACUAUGCUUGUGGUCUAACAGAAACCCUUAGAAACUUUAAAUCUGUGUUUUGCAAGCAGUUAUGCAUACUGUAUGAUUUGUCUCAAAACUUCUGUAAUUCUUGAUGUAUUUUAGGUAGACAGAAGUGAUCCUAAUGAAGCCUAUUUUGAGGGAGUAGGUUUGGAAGAAAUGAUGUAUAGCAAGACAUGAAUAAUGAUUUUCAUCAGUGGAAAAAACCCGACAUACCUGCAUGUUUGAGGUCCAGACUUCUUGCUAUUGGCAGUAGGCAGAAAGUGACCACCUCUUAGCAGAGCACAACGCUUCAUCUCAUCCCAAAAUGCUUUUCUGGCACAGCCAGCCUGAACAUUAUCACCAUCACCAAUAUCCCACCAGUAACAGCAGCUACCUGCGGUAAGAAAACAACAGAGCUGAUCUUUAAGAGCAAUUGUAAUGUUUGAAGACACAAGAAUACAACCUGUGCAGCCUUUGCAUUUAAUUCACAAGGUGAAUGAAGCCAUCAGAGUUGGUGCCAUAGAUCCUUUGAGAACAGUUUGAGCAGUUCAAUCAGUGUAGUGGAGAUUUGCUUUAUUGUAGCUCCAGGAUUUUCACAAGCUAUACCACGUCUCUGUGCGCUGCUCAGUGACCUGAAUGUUUUACUGAUUAGAAUGAUAUUUACAGAUGUAUUAACUUUUUGUUUCUUUCAAAUUACUUUUGCAAUCUGUAGAUAAAACUCUUGUUUAUGAGAA